AAUAUUGUGUUCCAGUUUUCAGCUGGUUAAAUGAUAUUUGAAAACACUAAGAAUUUUUUUAUCUCUCAAUUUCAACAGGUGAUGUUCUAUCAGGAUGGAGUCUGAUGUCUUGUCAGAUCAUGUAAUGUAGCUGCCAGAAUUGAGCCAGAGCCAGAGAAACAUCCUGGCAACUUGGAAGACCAAAUGAUUGGCAAGAAGGCUCAAGAACUCCUACGGACAGAAGACACAUCUAGUAGAAGGCCACACAGCUCUUCUGUUCCGCCUAUUCAGUUUUUAGUAUUUUCCACACUUUCGUAUGUCUAAUUUUCUAAAUUCCAAUAUCAACCCAAACUCUGUUUUUAGGAAAAAAUGCAAAAAUUCAAAAUUGGGAUGAAAUUUAUGCCCAGAAACAACCACAUUUUUUUGUUAACCAACAAUGUAGGAAUCACUACAAACUCAGUUUUUUCUUUUAGCAUUGAGAGACUUUAAACAGCACAGAGUAAUAAGCUGUUUCCAAAACAUCAGCUCAGUUCAUGUCACCCUUCAGUUUUCAUCGUCAUUACUCAAGGGGAUUUCUAGUUCCUACAUAAGGAAUGUUUUAAGAUAAAGUAAAAACUGUAAGAAUGGAUUAAAAACGUGAGCUGAUGUUGGUACAAAAACUUUAAAUCUAUGCAUAGAUUUUUUUAGCAUGUAUUUUCAUAAACUUUUCUGAGAUUGUCUCUGUUAAUAUAAACGUAAUAUUCAGAGAUCUCAGAAAAAAGUUCAUGAAAAUAUAUACCAGAGAAAUGUAUGCAUGGAUGUAAUUUUUUUGUGCCAAUACCAACUCAUACUUAAAUUCAUUUUUAUAUUUUUUAAUUUUAUCUUUUUUUGUUUGUUUUGAAAUAUCUGUUCAUUUGUAGGCUUUAAAAAUGUGCUUCUAUACCAUUAAUAAGCUGGAUGUUAUCCCCAGGAGAAAUGAUGGUUUUAAAAUACUGUAGAAGCUGAAGAUUAAAUAUGAAUUUAUCGAACACCUAUGACAAUGUUAUUAGUUAAAUACUGCACACAGUGAUGAAGUGAUUCCUAGCCCUUGUUGAAAACAUUAGCUGAGUAAUUAUAAAAUUGAACAUUAAGAGUCAAAAGAUUCGAUGCACAGGAAAAAUCAAAAGGCGUACUUUCUAGAACAAAA